rnacentral:lncRNA from 1 species
GCAGUUCCUCACCUACCUUCUCUGCUCACCGCUGUGUGCUAGCAAUCGGAGGACCCUUGGCACACGGAGCGACAGGGGCCUCCCCCACAGACACCUCAUUUUGGGAAAGAAGAAUAACUGGAAAUUUUAAGAAGUUACUAUCUCUGCUAUGGGGAUGGAUAGUCAGACAGCAAUGUUCACAAAUUACUCUUGAAACUUGAUGCAAACAACCUGUUUAAAAACUGAUGUAACGAGAGGAAUUUCAUGGAUGCAAAUGAACACCUGUGAAAAUUCUUCGGCAAGAACUGUUUCAUUUAGCAACACCAGGUUAGCAGUUUGAGAGAGGAUCUUUUUUGGGUCUACAUGCCCAAAUUUACAGACUGUUUUGCUACUUGAAUCUGCCAUAAUGUUUGUUGAAUAAAUAAUCUCUAUCUUUGAGGGAGCUGUUGAAUUUUUUUACAAUCAAAAUCCUGAAAGGAAUACAUUUAGAUUGUAUGCAUCUCAAUGUGCUCCGAGGCCUGUGGAUGUUUGCUGUUCUUUUUAAAGAAUUUAGGCAUCUUAACUCUUGGCAUAUAAAAUUAUUCUUAGGAACGAUAUGGAUAUAAUUCAAGUGUAAUACCACCUAUACAUUUGCCAGAAAUCACAGAUAUAUAUGUGUGUGUGUGUGUGUGUGUGUGUGUGUAUAUAUAUAUAUAUAUAUAUAUAUAUAUAUAUACUUUUUCUCAUUUCUAGUAACAAUGAAAAUCCUGUAACUUUUUGCUACAGAUGAAAAUAACUGGGAUCAUGAAUGAAAUGACCAGAUGGUUGCCCCAUCACCUAACAGUGAGGUGCCCCCGCUUGAAAUGUUGCCCCCGCUUGAAAUGUUUCUGGUUUCUUUUUUUUUUUUUUUUUCGAGACAGAGUCUCGCUUUGUCACCCAGGCUAGAGUGCAGUGGCGCGAUCUCGGCUCACUGCAAGCUCCACCUCCUGGGUUCACGCCAUUUUCCUGGCUCAGCCUCCCUAGUAGCUGGGACUAUAGGCGCCCGCCACCACGCCUGGCUAAUUUUUUUGUAUUUUUAGUAGAGACGGGGUUUCACCGUGUUAGCCAGGAUAGUCUCGAUCUCCUGACCUCGUGAUCCACCUGCCUUGGCCUCCCAAAGUGCUGGGAUUAAAGGCGUGAGCCACCGCGCCUGGCCAACAUGUUUCUGGUUUCUUAAGACUUUAGUAUAUUGUUCUUAACAUUUAUUUGGGAUGUAUUUGCAUUUUUGGAAGCUGACCAGUUUCUACACAUAUCUAAAUGCCUCCUUACAUUUGACAGUACAUUUAACAUGCUAAAGUACUUUUCUUAGAUAUGAUCAAUUUUAUCCUUGAAAUAAGCCUAUUGGGAGCCAUGGACACCAGCUCAUUGUGGUGAGGACGCUGAACUCAAUGGUGCAGAUACAGUGGUGAAGGAGACACACACCCUGUGGUAUGGUGGAGUAGACUCCUAACAGACCAACCCUGCCACAAAUAUAGCAACUAUAAACUGGACAAACUACCAAAAGUAACUACUUAAGAGACCUGGGAAGUGAGCAAAUGCAGGCAGAGGGGAGUUGAAUCUUGGAGGAGAGUGUGAGUUUCCUGUUUUUCAGCCUUGUCCAAAAGAUGGGCCCUGGUCACAAAGUGUCUGGGGGUGGCUAAAACUCCCAUAGAAAGACUGCCAUGUUUCUGGUCUAGGGAACCAGGGGCUGGAGCCUGGGGCAAUCAUGGCCACGAGAGUGAGGGAGAAAUCCCAGAGAGGACAGAGCCAGAGAAGGGGGCACCCAAAUGCUGUAUCUGAACUCUGCCCAAGUCUCUAGCUGACCCGUGAACCACAUGCACACAAACCAGAUUCAAAGCCACUUGCAGCUAAGGUUUGGAGUACUGAAUUGAGAUUUGAAUGGCCACUCACCAUGAGAGACAUGGAGUUUACAGCCUUCAGUGUAACCAAGUCAAUUGCUUGUUAAAACAAAGUAUCAACAGCCUUGGAAUGAAUACAACAGAAUUUAGAGUCUUGACUUAUGAAACAUCCACCAUGUCCAAAACUACUCAAAAUAUGAAGGACCAGGAAAAUGUGAUGUAUUGGCAACAAAGAAGUUAAUAAAAAGAGGUCAAUUUCAGAUGACCGAAAUGUUGAAACUAUUAGUCAAGGAAUUUAAAGCAGCUAUUGUGCUCAAUAGAGUGAAAAAAAUGCUCCUAAUAAAUGAGAAGAUAGGAACUUUUAGGAAAGAAAUGGAAAAUAUAUAAAGAAAAUAUACAAAAAGGGGAAAUUUUAGAACUGACAAAUACAAUACAUGAAAAAAAAAUUGCUGGAUGGGCUCUAAUAGCAUAAUGGAGAUAGAGAGGAAAGAACCAGUGAAUUUGAAGAUAGAGCAAUAGAAAUUGUCCCAUCUAAAGGAGGAGGAGAGGAGGAGGGGGGCGGGGGAAGGGAGUGAGAAACAUAGAGAGCCUCAGGAAUGUGUGGCACAAUAUAAAAAAAACUGAUAUUAUGGAUAGUUAAAAUAUCAGGAAGAGAGGAGAAAAAGAAUGGGAUGGCAAAUAUUUGAAAAAAUAGUGGCUGAAAACAUCCUAAAUUUAAUAAGAUGUUUACAUUUUCUGAUUGGAUAAGCUUUGUGAAUCCCAAAUGGGAUAAAUACAAAGAAAAACAAACUAGACACAUCAUAGUCAAACUACUGAAAACAAACAAAAAACAAAGAGGAAUCUUAAAAGCGUAAAUAAAAAUGACACAUUUUAUAUAUAGGAGAAUAAUGAUUUCAAUGGUUGUGGACUUCUCAGCAGAAAUUAUAGAAGUCAGGGACAGUCGAAUGAAAUUGUUGAAGUGCUUAAAGAAAAAACUGUCAGCUUAGAAAUCUCUGUCUAGCAAAAAUACCCUUCAAGAAUGAAAGCAAAAUGAAGACAUCUUCAGAUAUCAGAAAACUAAGAGAAUUCAUCACCAGAAGACCUGCACUUCCAGAAGCUAAAGAAAGUUGUACAGACUGAAGGGAGAUGAUAUGAGAAAAGGAAUAAAAAGCAUAAAAAAUUAUAAAUAUUGGAGUAAACAUCAAAGACCAAUUUUCCUCUUAAUUUCUUUCACAUAUGCACAACUGUAUAAAGGACAUAAUAUUGACUUAAGGUUUAUAUCACAUGUAGAUAGAUUUUAUGGCAGCUAUGGCAUAAAAGAUGGUGGCAGUGUUGGUGGUGUGGCCGGGGAGGGUAAAUGGACCAGUAAAAUUGCCAGUAGACUGAGAAGUUAAGGGAUUAUAUUAUAGUCUCUAGAGGAGCUUCUAAGAAAUCAUGCAAAAGACUAAAAGACCAAUAGGUAAGUUAAAAUGAAAUUAUAAAAAUAUUCACUUAAUCCAAAAGAAUAUAGGAAAGGGAGAACAAGAGGGACUAACAGCAGAGGAGACAAACAUAAAGCAAAUAAUAAAAUAAUACAGCAUAACCAAUUAGUUUUAUCCCAGGAAUUCAAGGUUUGUUUAACAUUAGAAAAUCAAUAUAACUCACCAUAUUAACAGAAUAAAGGAGAAAAACCAUCUGAUCAUUUUCAUAUGUAGAUAAAAAAUAUGACAAAAUUUGAUAUCCAUUUAUAAGAAAAAUUCUCACCAAACUGACUAUGAAGGACUUCUUCAACUUCAUAAAAAGCAUCUAUGAAAAACCUACGGUGAGCAUUAUACUUAAUGGUGAAAUAUUAAAUGAUAUUCUACCAAACUCAGAAAAAAGGCAAAUGUGCUCAUUUUUUUUACCACUUCUACUCAAUAUUGAAUUGGAGCUUCUAGCCACUGCAAUAAAGAAUGAUAAAAUGAUAAAGAUUGGAAAGAAGGAAGCAAAAUCGUCCUUAUUUGCAGGCAAUACGAUUGUUUACAUAUGAUUGUUUUCUACAUCCUAAGGAUCUAAAAAAUAAUUAGAAGUAGUAUAUUAUUCCAUUCUCACACUGCUAUAAAGAACUACCUGAAACUGGGUCAUCUUUGAAGAAAAGAGUCUUAAUUGACCCACAGUUCCACAGGCUGUACAGGAGGCAUGGCUGGGGAGGCCUCAGGAAACUUACAAUCAUGGCAGAAGGUGACAGGGAUGCCAGCACGUCUUCACAUGGUGGCAGGUGAGAGACAGAACGAAGGCGGAGGUGCUACACACUUUUAAAAGAAGCAGGUCUCAUGAGAAUUCCAUCACAAGACAGCACUAGAAGGAUGGUGCUAAACCACUAGAAACCACCCUUAUGAUUCACCUUUCACCAGGCCCCACCUCCAACACUCAGUAUCACAAUUCAACAUGAGAUUUGGGUAAGUACACAGAACCAAACCAUAUCAUUUUGCACCUGGCCUUUACCAAAUGUCAUGUCCUUUUCACGUUUCAAAAAACAAUUAUGCCUUCCCAAGAAUCCUCCAAAUUCUUAACUCGUUCCAGAAUUAACUCAAAAGUCCCAGUCCAAAGUCUCAUCUGAGACAAGGCAAGUACUACUCCUCUGCCUAUGAGCCUGUAAAAUAAAGAAACAAGUUAGUUAGUUCCAAGAUACAGUGCAGGUACAGGCAUCGAGUAAAUGCUCCCAUUCCAAAAGGGAGAAAUUGGCCAAAACAAAGGGGCUAUAGGCCUCUUGCAAGCAAAACCCAGGAAGGCAGUCAUUUAAUCUCCAAGCUCCAAAAUACUCUCCUUUGACUCCAUGUCUCACAUCCAAGGCACACUGAUGCAAGGGGUGGGCUCCCAAGGCCUUGGGCAGCUCUGCCUCUGUGGCUUUGCAGGGUACAACCCCCAAAGCUACUUUCAUGGGCUGGGAUUGAGUGCCUGCAGCUUUUUCAGGCGAACAGUGCAUGCUGUCAGUGGAUCUAUCAUCCUGGGGUCUGGAAGAUGGUGGCUCUCUUCUCACAGCUCCAUUAGGCAGUGCCCCAGUGGGAACUUGGUGGGAGCUCCAACCCCACAUUUCACCUUCACACUGCCCUUGUAGAGGUUCUUCAUGAGGGAUCCAGUCCUGCAGCAGACUUCUGCCUGGACAUCCGGGUGUUUCCAUACAUCCUCUGAAAUCUAGGCAGAGGCUCCCAAGUCUCAACUCUUGCCCUUUGCAUACCCACAGGCCCAACACCAUAGGGAAGCCAUCAAGACUUGGGGCUUACACCCUCUGAAGCAAUGACCUGAGCUGUACUGUGGCCCCUUUUAGCCAUGGCUGAAACGGGAGCAGCUGGGAUGCAGGGCACCAUGUCCCAAGGCUGCACAGAGCAGUAAGGCCCUGGACCUGGCCCACGAAACCAUUUCUCCCUCCUAGGCCUCUGGGCCUGUAAUAGGAAGGGCUGCUAUGAAGGUCUCUGAAAUGUCUUAGAGGGAUUUUCCCCAUUGUCUUGGCUAUUAAUAUUUGGCUCCUUUUUACUUAUGUAAAUUUCUGCAGCUGGCUUGAAUUACUUCCCAGAAAAUAGGUUUUUCUUUUCUACUACAUGGCAGGUUGAAAAUUUUCCAAGCUUUUAUACUCUGCUUUCCUUUUAAAUAUAAGUUCCAAUAUCAAACCACCUCUUCGGAAAUGCAUAUGAGCAUAUGCUGUUAGAAGCAGCCAGGUCACUUCUUGAAUGCUUUGCUGCUUUGAAAUUUCUUCCACCAGAUACUCUAAAUAAUCUCUCUCAAGUUCAAAGUUUCACAGAUCCCUAGAGCAGGGGCACAAUGCCACCAGUCUCUUUGCUGAAGCAUAGCAAGAAUGACCUUUACUCCAGUUCCCAAUAAGUUCCUCAUCUCCCUCUAAGACCUCCUUGGCCUGGACUUCAUUGUCCAUAUCUCACUAUCAGUAUUUUGGUCAAAGCCAUUCAACAAGUCUCUAGGAAGUUCCAAACUUUCCCUUAUCUUCUUGUCUUCUUCUGAGCCUUCCAAACUGUUCCAACCUCUGCCCAUCCAAAGCUGCUUCCACAUUUUCAGGUAUCUUUUGUAGCAAUGCCCCACUUCUCUGAUACCAAUUUCCUAUAUUAGUCCAUUCUCACACUGCUAUAAAGAACUAUCUGAGACUGGGUAAUCUAUGAAGAAAAGAGGUUUAAUUGACUCACAAUUCUGCAGGCUGUACAGGAGGCAUGGCUGGGGAGGCCUCAGAAAACUUACAAUCAUGGCAGAAGGUGAAGGGGAAGCCAGCACAUCUUCAUAUGAUGGCAGGAACUUUAUAUGUUAUAGAAGUUAGCCCCAAGAAUGAAAUCGUGUCCUUUGCCAAAACAUGGAUGGAGCUAGAGGCCUUUAUCCUAAGUGAGUUAACGCAGGAACAGAAAGCCAAAUAGUGCAUGUUCUCACUGAUAAGUGGGAGCUAAACUAUGGGUUCACAAAGGCAUGCAGAGUGGUACUGUGGACAUUGGAGACUCAGAAUGGGGGAGGCUAGGAGGGAGGUAAGGGAUGAAAAAGUACCUGUUGGGUACAAUGUACACUACUUGGGUGACGAUGGGUCCACUAAAAUCCCAGAUUUAACCACUGUACAAUUCAUCCAUGUAACCAAAACCCACCUGUACCCCAAUGCUAUGAAAAUAAAUAAAACCAAAUUAGCUCUGUUUCUGUUAGAUGAGAUGCAAAUAUUUUCCCAAGUUUGUCCUUUGUCUUUUGACUUUGUUUAUGGUGUUUCACUCAUGCAGAUGUUUUUUAUUUUCAUGUUUUUAACUUGUCAUUAUUUUCUUUCAUGUCUUCUGGAUUUUAAGUCAUGUUAUCAAGGCUUUCCCACUCUGAUAUUAUAAAUGAAUUUUUCCUCAUUUCUCUUAGAACUUUGAUUCUUUCACUUCCCACAUUUAACCUUCCACGUAUCCAGAAUUUCCCCUAGCAUAAGUUGAUACGGUCCCAAUGUUUCUUUUUUUUUUUUCCCAAAUGGCCACUCAUUUAUACCAACACCAUUUAUUGAAUCGUCUAUAGUCCCCACUGAUUUGAAAUGCCAGCUUUACAUACCAAAGUCCUGUAUGCAUUUGCCUCUGUUCUGUUUGGUAGGUCUAUUCAAGCUCCAGUUCCCAAAAGUGUUGAGUGUCGCUUAAAAUCUAGAAGGGCUGGUUUCUAGUUUUCCAUAAUUGCUCCUCUUUUCUAGUGUCCUCUGUCCUAUUAGGGCUUAUUGAUUUUUAAAUAUGAUUUGUGGAUUCAGUUUUCUUUAGUUCUAGUGAGCAACAAAAACAACCAAGAAAAAAAUAAAAAAAACCCUCCCUGUUUUCCUUUCUUUCUUUCUUUUUUUAAUCAAGAUCACCUUAAGUUUAAAAAUUAACGUAGGAUAACUUGACAUAUUUUAUGAUUUUUAUGUUACUCUCCAAAAAUAUAAUAAGUGGUUCUAUUUAUUCAACUCUACUCCUUUGUCCUGCAGGAACAUUUUGUUUCCUUAUCAAGUCUGAUAUUGUCUUUUGGUCUGAGAUAGACAUAUUUAAAAAAAUUGUGUUCAUUGAUUUCUAUCUUA